GGGACGGGAGGGUGUGUGGGGGAAUGGGAAGAAAAGAAAAUUCGGUAAGAAAACUGAGAUGAAGAAUCGAAAGCUUACUUCGAAUAAACUGGGACCGAAGGGGACGACGUGCUCGAGAGAAGCAACCGCCGCCGUUUGAUCAGCGGCAUGUAGUCAAGAUCAUCCAUCCAGCACUUAUCUCCUGCCCUAAUCUUGACCUUGUCUGUAGACCCGUCGAUAGCAAUGGCGGAAUCCAUUCCCAGCUAGGGUUUUCUCGCGCCAACGCCUCGGAAUUGGAAGCCGGCCAUUCCACUGGAGGAGAAGAAAGUGAGGGAAAAGGAGAAGAAGAAGAGGUGAAAUCACAUAAUUAGGGUUUGAGAGAGAUGGAAAGGUUGAAGGAAAGAGAGAAGGAGAGGAGAAGAGGAGAAGGAAAGGUGAUACCUGCGCAUUCUGGUCGCCGAUAUGGAGCGGGUAGGGCUUUCGCCGAGAGAAGGGGAAAAGACCCCUCGAGCUUCCGAGGCAGAGGGGCCAACGGGCACUCGGGCGGUAUGGAUUCUUGAUUGGUAUUCUAAUACUCCCAGCCAGCGCAUGAUAGGCAUGGCCCGGAAUGACAUGCCACGUGACGGAACUUUGGAGUCAACCGAUAACCAAUAUGCUUGAGGUUUUUUUAUUAUUAUUAUUUUUCAACAAACUAAGUAUCCAUUCUGUUGAGGUGUAUCGAGUUACGUGAUAAUUUGGCAAUUCAUAAAAAUUAUUUAUUAAAAAAAUAAUUAUAAAAAAAUAAAUUUUAUCAUAUUUGAUUAAUAAAAAAUUAAUUAUAAAAAUAAUAUUAAAAAUUAUUAUAUUUGGUUGGAGAUAAUACUAUAUAGAAAUACAAUAAGAUUUAUAAAUAUAAUCUUCAAUAUAAAAUAAUUUUUUAAUAUUAAUAUAGUAUUAUCAUCUCCAAUUAAUUCUUAUACGAUGAUUAUAAUCAUAAAGUCUAUUACAUAAUAUUAUCUUCAUCUUAAUUAUUUUAUAAAAUUUUUCAUUGAACAAAUUUGAAAAGACAUCCGAACAAAUUCAAUGAUUACACAUAUAAUUUUAUUAGAAAUAUUUUUAUCAAGUAUGAAUUAUUACCAUUCAAAAAUUUAUCGAAUACCAACUUCUAUCGUAUUUAUUUUAUAUUUUUUUAUAAAAAAUAAAUAUAAGAUCCAUCAAUUUUUUUAUCAUUUUUUUUUAUACUAAAUAUCAUAAUUGGGCAUGAAAUUUAUUUUUCCGUGUUGGAUUGCCUCUAAUCAAAUGGAUUCUAAUUCUUUGGGAUAUGACCAGGGUCAUAAAAUUUAGAUAUGCAAUGCGAUCGUGAUCAUGUAAUACUGUAGCAUGUAACAGGUGCUCGAGCACAGUUCAAUAAAUAUUUGGAUGUUUUUAAUUGAGGUUUAAAUGUUCUUGGACAAUUUUAAAUUGGAUGAUUUGGCAAUUUAUGGAUUAUGUUCAUAGAUUUGUACUGUGUCAUGACAUGUAUGAAGUAUGAUUAGCUCCAUGUGAAUCAUGACGUAUUAUACUUGCAAGUUUCAUUGGGAAAAAGAUCGUGGUAUUUUGGUUUAUGUGGGAUCCAACCCUCAAAUCUAUUUUUUGUUAUAAUGAUUUUGCAUAAAAAAAACAUAAACUGGUUGAUUCUUGGUAUGGUGUCAAUUAUGAUCAUGUGUGCCUUAGUAUUGGAAGAAAUAUAUUCGUAAUCAAACAAAUCUCCAUAUUCCAAGAGAAAUGAGAUCAAAUAUUAUGAAAAAACCUCCGAAAUCCGGACAAUGGAGGACCGUAUUGGAAAUUUUGAGCAACAGAAUACAAAUAUAAUUGAUUUAAUGAUCAAGCCGAGUUGUUACCAUGUGAACUCUACCUUUUGAUAGAUUUUAGUUAGGAAUAUGCUUGGACUCCACCAUACUGCCAAUCAACAAUUCAGUAAUAAGCAUCAUCCGUCAAGUCCGAUAAUAAUUCUCAAUAACGCAAUAUCAAGCAUCAUUUGCCAAUCUAGGUAGCACAUCUAAGCAUGAUAAUUUACAGUUGGAUAUGUAAAUAAUAUCAGAAGCAUUAAUAUCUUAAAUUAAAAGUAGGAAAAGAACUUCUUUACAAAUGAAAUAAUGCAAUUAGGAUUUUGAUCAUCCCUCAACAACAGUGCCUUUUUUGAAUAUGCUACUUUUGAUAUAAAAAGUACAUAAUAUAUGUAAAUAUGAAAUUAGUAACUAAAGACUCGUUUUCAUGAUAAAAGUUAUAAUAUAAUAUUCCCUCUAUGGCUAGAGUAGGGGGAAGUGGGGAGCAGGGCGCACGUACACCUCUCCCUCUCUCGAGUCUAUUAAAAACUUUCACAGCUUCCUAUUUUGAAUAAACUGGUCCUCCAUAGCAGUCGAUUCUAUAUGCCUCUUUGUUUAAAAAAAUGAUGGUUGUGUUUUUUUUCGUGGAAUGCAUGUUUUUCUCUCAUUUUUGUUUUCUCCUUUUGUUACAAGAAUCCAUAAUUUCAUAAAUUUAAAAAUUUGAAGAUUCAAAUUUGUUAGUGUUUUAAGAAGCACAAAUAAAGUUAUGAGAAGACCAUAUAAUAAUUUUAAAAUAUGUGAUUCCUUCGAGGAUUAUUGCAUGAAUUUUAUAACCAAAAACAGAUUAGCAAAAGGAAAUAAUCAAUAAAAACAAUUAACUAAAAAUCAGGAUAUUUAUUUAUGAUGGAUGAAUAUAAUUAAGUUAUGCUGUGUGUUUAUUAAUAAUACCUCUUUGAAUGAAAUUAUUAGUUUUGCUGGUCCUCUUUCUUCAUCAUGAUGCUGCUAAGCAAUAUAAUCAUUUUAAUGCAUAGACAACUACUCAUUAAUUUUAAAUUGAAUUCAAAGAGAAUAUGAGUUUUAGAUAUGUGAAGCACAUAAUUUGGCAACAAACAACCUCUGAACAGAGCCUCCUUUGUGCACCAUAUCUGAGUUUAAUAUUCAAAAAAAAAAAAAAAAACACAACAAUCCCUUGUUCGAUCCUUGGACAUUCAAAUUAGAAUAAUUAGUUAAAGCGAUGUACUUUCAAAGUAAUAGAAAUAAUUUCUUUAAUUUAUAGAAUAAAAAAAAGUGCAACAGAAAUGAAAUGAUGCAGUAUAAAGGAGGACUUGAAUGAGCAAAAACAAUUCACUAUAAACCAGAGAAUGUUGUGAUAGGUCCUUAUAUUGUCAUUGAGGCUUGAUGUAUUUUUGAUUUUUUUUAGAUUAAAUUUAUGUUAAAUCUUUCAACAUUAUAUGCAUUUAUUAUUUUCUGACUGUGAUUCUCCCUAUGAUUUUCCCAAUGUAUUUGAACAAUACGUACAUCACACACGUCUUGCAAAUUUGUACUAGCUAUAGCAAACAAAUUACCAUGUUGCUAAUAGUAUCAUCUAAAGGUACACAUGUAUAUGAUCCUUCCAGCUAUAUUCUAAACAAGAACUGAGAGUUUUAUCAAUAGUGUAUUUUAGUCAUAUGAUAUAUGUAUAUCGACCAAGAUAGUGCACAUAGUGAAGUUAGUGGGAUAUAUAUUAUCUAUAUUUGUACAAUCAACUUGAUUAAAAAUUCAUUUACUAUAUACAUUGUAAAGCUUGUCAAUCAUUGCUGGCUAAGUUGCAUUGAAGAAGAGGUUUGAACCCUAAUGAACUUUGAGAGAAAAUAAGAUUUAGUAAGAAAUUAAAGAAGCCAUACAAAAAAUCAUAAAAGAAAUAUCUUAGUAUAAGCGGACUCUGAGAAAUUUUGAAUAAGGAGGAAGAGAGAUAGUUUUAGACCAAGAGAAAAAUAUGAGAUACAAUGUGUUAUAAGUUAAAAUUUUUUAAAAAAUAUCUUAAAAUUAAGAUUUUAGUUAAUAUAAUUGGAUUAUAACCAGUUUCCUAAAAAUAAGCAUACAUUAUGACUACUUUUUAUUAAAAAAUAUAAUGCAGUUCCUCCGAAGGAUUUGACAGACAAAAGGGGUGAUUUUUUAUCUGAUGUAAUUAAUUUUUAAAAACAAUGGAUAUCCAUCUCUAUAUGAUCGAGAAAACAAAAAAUAAUAUUGAAAUUUUGGUUUUCCUAUUUUCCUUCUCAAACCUUCUAAAUCAUGAAUGUACUGGAAAGACAUCCAAGCUGUGGCAGUUCUUGAUAUGUUAGCAUAUCCCUAGCAUCAUGCACGUGCGAUCUAAAAGAAAAGAAUGCCAGGGAGUUCAGGGAAAAUGAGUAGUACUCUCAACAUCCUUGAGCUCAUCUUUUAAAAUGCAACCCAGGUUGGAUGCAUAUUUUAUCCGCUCGCUACUUUUCCAUCUUCACACGUAGGGAUUGAGUUAGUGCCUCCCUUCCCCCCGUGUACUCACACUCAUUUCUUUUAAUUAAAUACAUCAUUUCACGUGGACGCUAAAAUUGAGAAAGAAAGAAGCACAUCAUGCUAUACGAGAAGUAUAUCUAACAAAUGAGUUUUGCGAUGGCGGAUCAAUCUUACUUUUAUGUAGGAGUAAAUAUUUAUUACCUUUUUAUGUUAUUUUUAUUCUUUUGUUACGGAAGACUGCCGGCAACUACCUUUCCUCACUCACCAAAAAAAAAAAAAAAAAAUCCUCUCUCCUCCUCUCUGUCCCUUUUCUCACCCUAGUUUCUGCUGCCUCAUUUUCUAGCAAUCGAGGUUCGGCCAGGGUUUAGCUAGGAGCCCAAGGUUCGCCGGCAGCAGAAAAUAUAACUCGGCAUUGAUGCAUCCAAGUACAAAUUAACAAGGAUGAAUAACUGGAAAUGUGGUUAUUUUGGGAUGAGAGAUGAGUGGAGAGCAAGAAAUUGGGUAACGCAGAAAUCGACAUAGGAGUAUCAGUAUGGUAGCUAGGUAGUAGAAAGAGGGAGAAGUUGGCAGAGAAUGAGUGGUGUUUUAGUACAUCAAUUAAUCUGAAAGCUACUACAAAUUUUGAGCUGUUAGAAGAUUUUAUAUAUUAAGAUUUAAUUCUAUAUGUAAAAAUUAAAUAUAUGCAGAUAUCUUAAGCUCUCUGACUAGAGGCACAUAAAUAUGAUCAAAUUUUUGCUUUGAUUUUAUUAAUAUGAAAGUAAUAAUCGAUGCUCAUAAUUAUUGUAAUUAAUAAUUUGAUAUUUAUUAGUAUAAAUUGGAUGUUCGAAUAAAUUUUUAUAUGACCAUCGUAGAGUUACUUAGAAGACUUAAUGCACAAAAAAUUUAAUUCCAUUCAUAAAAGUCAAUUAUAUGUAAAUAUUUGAAACUUCUCAUGAUCAACAUUUUUUUCACAAAUUUUCUAUGGACUAUGGUAGAGAUAAAACGCUACUCUCUCUUGGCAAGCCAACGACCCAUCAAAACCUUCUUUAUUCAAGACACUUUCGAUUGGUAUCGAGCUUGCAAUGGAUGGAGAACCAAGUUCGGAACGGACAUCAAACACUAGAACAAAAUCGUUACACAAAUUCAGUUUAAAUUUUCAUCCCAGCCAUUCAUCAAAUCAAUCAAAAUGCCCCUCGUGAUUCGCCCGGACCCCUCCCCAAAAGACCUUCCCGCCCAUCGCCUGCUUCCCGUACGCACCCCCACGCCCCUGCCCUAAUGACACCAAAAUCUAAAGGUAACAAUAGAAAAUCUAAAAAGCUGCGUCCGAGUUCGAAAUUUGACCGUUGUUUCCAGCUGGUCGCCACGUCAACAGUGGGCCCCAGUGGGGCCUUCCGCCACUGCCAAGAUGCUCCCAGGGUACCUCGAAACGGCUAACCGGUUCCUCGUCCGGAUCCACCGCCUCGCUCUGCCCAUGAUCCUAUGCUCCAAGGAAGAUCUGCCGUCCGAUCGCUGACAAAAGGCUUGUGAUCGAAGGGAUCGGAUGGGAGUCCCUGGAAAGACCACAAAGCCCCAGUCCCUCCUCUUCUUGGUUCCCCACUUCCAUAAAAGUCUCGCCUUUACCAUAUUCUCCUCUGUUUUGUUCCACCCAACUCAACUCAAACCAGGGGGAAAAAGGCCUCUUUUUUCCAAAACAUUCUUCUCUUCUUAGAUUUCUCUCUUCUUCUCGCUUCUUCUACUGAUAUUUUUAUUCUUGUUCUUUAGAUUUCUUCGGUCAAGGGGAGGAGAAAAGGGGCUCUUUUUCCCUCUUCGUGCUUUGUUUUCUCCGCUGUUCUUCUUCUCCGGUGAUUUCUUCGAUUUCUCGAUUUCCUAUCUUUUACCUAUUCUAGUCCCCAUUACCCGAUUGCUUUAUGUGAUUGGAAGGACGAAGUGUUCUUCUUUUGAAGGGGAAUCGAUGGCGCCGCUUCUCCUCUUGCUUCUGGCGAUCUCGGUGGUUUAUGCGGACGAAGGUGCGGAUUCUCUUCUUCUCUGAUGUCAAAAUCUUUCUCUUUUCUCCUUUUGUUUGCGUUCGAUUCAUUCUUCAAGCUAUUUGAUUUCAGACAGAUUUCUUACUCUUUACUUGUUCGUAUUUUUUUUUCUUCGGCAUUUUUGGAUUUUGCGAGAAAUGUUAGCUGAGAGGUAGGGCUUUGUCACAGUCCUCUCCUCUCGAGCUCAUCUAUUCGAAGAUUCAGAUGUCCUACAGAUUUGUCGCUUUAUUUGUUUCCAUUUACAGUAUUACUUCAGUCCAGUGUUGUUGUAGACUUAUAGGAUGGAGUCUUUUGUUUUAUUUUGCGGAAAAAGCAUUAGUCUUUGGGCUGAUUGAUGUGGAUUUUUUUCUUCUUUAGCUCACCGUAUUUCCCCAUCAUGGCUAGAUGUGUUUAUUAGAUUUAAUUUACUUUGGCCAAUGUAACUUGCUAGGUUUUCUGAGCUGGUGGAUUGUCAAAAAUGUGCGUCCUUUUUUUUUUUUGAUAAGAAAAAUGUUUGGCCUUCUUUAUUGCAUGCAGUGAACAUAGGACCGACCUUUACCCAAAAGUAAAAAAAAAAAAGGACCUUGGGUAGGUUCCUCGUUGGCGGGUGGAGUAUCAAGUCAGCUAUCAUUUCUUGUUCCAGAUCUUGCAUAACUACAAACUAUUAUAUAUUCCAAACGAGGAUGGUGACACCGAUAUUUUUUUUUUUUGGGAGUCGGUCGGGAAGUUUUAAUCCAUGUUAGAAAACCACCAUCUUUCUAUUUGAUUUGGGGUGAGUGGUUGAUGCUGUGCUAUCAACUAAUAUCUCUAUCUGUCUCUCCAUAUAUAUAUAAAUAUAUGUUUCACGAAAGGAUGGUAACCCACAUUUUUCUGGAGUGGUCGGGAUUCGGUAAGUUUUAAUCCAUGCACGUUGGAAAACCACCACCUUUUUAUAUGAUUUUGGGGUGAUUGGUUGAUGCUAUGCCAUCGCGGGGUAUAAUAUAAAAGUAUAUUAAAUUGUUUAGGUAGGUAGUUAACGUAAAAAAUUUUCAGAGUAAUCACUCUUUUUCUUUGAGCCGAGUUGGUGUGACUGGAACGAGUUGACUCAUGUUUGUGAUGCGAUGGUGACUAUUGUGUGCUGCGGACCUGCGGUGAAGUGGGUCCGGGCUCUGCAGCGAAUCUCUUUUAGAACAUAAAAUCAAAGAGACCGAUCAUUAUGUAACAACAAUAAAUUCCUCAGCCACCGUGAGCACAUUUGGGAGCAGUAGAUUCGCAGGCCCCUCAAGCAUACCAAUGGAGGCAUCUUGUCUAACCUUAGUUUUGAAAGUUUGUUGUUUGCUUAAAGGAAUCAAUGGCGGAUCGACAGCGAAAUAACGUGGGCGUACAGUGGGGGCAAGAAUUCAAAUCUUGGGGCGAUUCGAAGUCGGAAAGACGUCCGUUCGCCGACUUUAUGUGACAUGUGUUGGUGACGUGCUCCCGCUUCCUCUCCGUGUCCCAUUAUCAUCGACCGGCUUUAAUCAACGGCCAAUAAUCAUCGUGUUGGAUUGCCUGGAUCAAUAAACAAUUGGUUUCUUAUCUGGUAAAUUUGUUUUAUUGCUUUGUCUCAUUGGCUUUAUUGUUGUCUUCGUAUGCUUGCGAAAGCGGCAGUAUGGUUUCCGCUUCUUCCGCUCGUCCUCGAGAUCCGAUCCCAUCGCGCCUCUGUGGGGACCCGGGAGUCGAUCAGACGCUCCUAUGGAAAUGCGAUAUCUAUCAAUCCGAUGAUAUGGGCCCAUGCGUGAAUAGACGGUGAUCUGGUCACCUUAUAUCGUUCCGACGAUUCGAGCCCUGGGAUUAGAAAUAGACGGCGGAUCUCGGGACUCUCAUAGACAUGUCUGUGCAGUUUGCUUUCACGAAACUGUUAUCACCAUUCUGGUUGCACGUGGCGCCCGUACCCAGUUGUCUCCCGGAUCAGUUUGUUGCUCGACAGCUAGUCUUCGAUUGCUGUUCCGCUGGACCACGUUAGCAGAUAUAUCAUCACGAUCGAGUCCCUUUUUUUAGUUUUUUUUCCUUGCUUUUCUAUCUUUCUCUCUUUAUUUUUUUUUUGGUAAGUUUCUAUCUUUCUCUCUUUAUUUUUUUUUUGGUGAGUUUCUAUCUUUCUCUUCAAAUAAUAAACAUGUCACUUACUGGUUUAUUUGAUUUCAAAAGGUUUUUUUAUUACAUUUGCGCAUUUUAGCAUUUGCUGAGGGCUUUGGACUAACGUGCGCAGGGGCGUACAUUGGGGCGAACAUCGGGACGGCGCUGUCGGACAUGCCGUCGCCGACUCAAGUGGUGGCGCUGCUGAAGUCGCAGCAGAUCCGGCACGUGCGGCUGUACGAUGCGGACGCGGCCAUGCUGGCGGCGCUCGCCAACACCGGCAUCCGCGUCACCGUCUCCGUCCCCAACGAUCAGCUCCUCGCCGUCGGCCAGUCCAACGCCACCGCCGCCAACUGGGUCGCCCGCAACGUCGUCGCCCACGUCCCCACCGUCAACAUCACCGCGGUGGCCGUCGGCUCCGAGGUCCUCACCGCCCUCCCCAACGCCGCCCCUCUCCUCGUCCCGGCCCUCCGCUACGUCCACUCCGCCCUCGUCGCCGCCAACCUCGACCGCCAGAUCAAAGUCUCCACUCCCCACUCCUCCUCCAUCAUCCUCGACUCCUUCCCCCCUUCCCAGGCCUUCUUCAACCGCUCCCUCGACCCCGUCAUCUCCCCUAUGCUCAAGUUCCUCCAGUCCACCGGCUCCUACCUCAUGCUCAACGUCUACCCUUACUACGACUACAUGCAGUCCAACGGCGUCAUCCCUCUCGACUACGCGCUCUUCCGCCCGCUGCCGCCCAACAAGGAAGCGGUCGACGCCAACACUCUGCUUCACUACACCAACGUCUUCGACGCCAUCGUCGACGCCGCUUACUUCGCCAUGGCUUAUCUGAACAUCACCAACGUCCCCGUCGUCGUCCUCGAGUCCGGCUGGCCCCACAAGGGGGACCCCUCGGAAGAGCCCGAUGCCACCGCCGACAACGCGGACACCUACAACAGCAACCUUAUCCGUCACGUGCUCAACAGCACCGGCACCCCCAAGCACCCGGGCGUCCCCGUCCCGACCUACAUCUACGAGCUCUACGACGAGGACCAGCGGCCCGGGACGCUGUCGGAGCGCAACUGGGGGCUCUUCGAUGCCAGUGGGGUGCCCGUGUACACGCUGCACCUCACCGGGUCGGGGGUGUUGCUGGCGAAUGACACGACGAACCAGACGUACUGCAUCGCGAGGGAUGGGGCGGAUGCAAAGAUGCUGCAGGCGGCGCUCGACUGGGCGUGUGGGCCGGGGAAGGUGGACUGCUCGGUGCUGAUGCAGGGGCAACGAUGCUAUGAUCCUGACACGGUGGAGGCGCAUGCGACGUAUGCGUUCAAUGCGUAUUACCGUGGGAUGGGGAUGAGUUCGGGGACGUGCUACUUCAAUGGGGUUGCCACCGUUACUACCACUGAUCCAAGUAAGGAAGCUCUCUCUGUUAUUGAACAUUCAAUUUGAAAUUAUUUUUUCCACCCUCUUGUUGCCAGAAAUUUGCAUCCGGCACCCCACCCACCACUUAAAUUGGUAUUAAAUUUAGUGUUUUUCUAUACAAAAUCAGCAUGCCUUUAGUCAUUAGUUUGAUGACUAACAUUAUGUUGCCGAGUUCAUGUAUAAACCUCGGGGCACACUCCAGGAAUCCAUGCAUCAACUCUAUAGUGAUAUAGCAUGAAGCUCUAUAAUGGUAUAUCACCAUUCACCACUAAACUAGCAAUGGGAAAUAUCUGCUCCAUUGCAAUGGUGGAACAAGUAUGCCUGUGAGCGUCUAUUACAGGGUAUGCAGAAACAUAUAUAUAGCAUGCGGGCACUAUUUAUUUUUGUUUGGUAUAGCAAUGGUAGUUAUUAUUAUUAUUAUUUUUUUGCCCCAAAUCUUACAUGAGCCAUAUCAUAUUUUUAUUAUAUAAGCGCAAAAGAAUUACACAUCUGAACUAUCUAAAAUUGGUGUAAUAAGAACAUGCAUUUUGUUUCAUAUUAGUUAUUAAACUUCAGUAGUUUAGCACUUCUGCUGUAUUCUUGUAUGUAGAAGAUUAACUCAUUUGAAAAUGCCUAUGUGCAUACAAUUUGAGUAUGUAUGCGACUAAUUUAGAAUUGUGCCAUGAAAGAUAUUGCUUCAGAAAGGCAUUUGAUUGAUAAAAUUUAUGUACUUAUUCUUAGGAUGCAAGAUCAAAUUAUGCCAGUUGUUUAUAUCUGGGUAUUUCUUUUGAUGCAGGUCAUGAUGGCUGUGUAUUUCCUGGAAGGUAUGUCGCUUUAACCUAAGAAAAUGUCAAAUUGCUUAUGACUCAAUAGUGUUAAUAUAUAGUAUCAGUUUCUUGUAUGCAAUUUUUUUUUUUUUUUCUUGAAAACAAAUAUUUUAGAUGGUAGAAGUAAAAGCCAUUUGCAAUCAUUUAGCUUUGUUGGCCUGGCCUGUAGGUGUGAUCCUUGUAUAUUAUCCUAUGAAGUCAUUCAUAUUUUCAUUAGAAAAGACCAAAAGUUACAUAAACCAUAUGGGUAUAGUCAGACAGCUCACUUUGAUGACUUAAUUUGAAUAGAAAGUAAUAUAGGUCAUGUAAAUCUUACGAUUGGCCUGGAGUCUGGCAUUUUCUUUGAUAUUUAUACUACUUAAGAUCAAAAAGAAAUGGGAGAGAAAAUUGUAUACCCUUUCCUCUUCCUUCUAUUCUGGUCGGUUAAAUGGCUAAGAUAUUUUGUCUUAUAUAUUGAAUGGGGUUUUGAAUCAUUUGAUAAAAUCAAAGAUGCUUUAUGAUAUGCUAAUGUUCUUAGAGUUCUUAUACUGACGGAGACCCCUUUGUUUGUGGAGUUGGUUUGAAGUGUCAAAAUCCGAUAUGAGAUUCAUAUAACAAAUGUCUCACCCAGUGCAUCAUAAAGUAAGAAUUCAUUAACAUUGAAAACACAACUUAGUUACCUUGAUAACGCUUCUAACAGGACAUUGUUUACGGUGAUCUGGUCAACAGUGACUAGGCUAACCUCUGUUUAUUUGAAAACUAUGCUUCAGAAUCUGUUUUUUCUUCCUUCAGUUGGCUUAUGUGAUAAAAGUAACUCUGUGACUGCCUUUAGGCCUUGGUGCUUAAGAGUUUGUACUCUCUUCUUGUUCUCUUAGAUGUUUUAGUCUUUUGAGAUUCGGCUAUCUUGAGCUAUGGGGGUCAUAUUGUUUUGGAUCUAAGAGUUAUUGCGUUUACUUUUGGAGAUCAUUAUAAGUUACAUGCUUUUGGAAGUCAGUCCGGCUUUACAGCCAUGAAAUUGGGAUGUGUUAUUGUUUCUCGUGCAGUGGUGGAAAGAAUGGCACCUUCUUUAAUGGCACAUCGCUGGCACCUGCAUCAAAUUCCACCUCGGCUGAAUCUGCCUCCCCUCACAGUUUCCAUGACACCAAGUUGCUCUUUCAAAUCUUCGGAGUCCUGCUAUUGAGUCUGCUAUUCUUGUAGUUCAUGAUCUCUCUUCUUUUUGUUCAGAGUGAUCUUGGAUCAGAAGCCUUGGAAUUGAAAAUUGGAUUGAAUGUGGACUUCUGAGGGGGGAUGUGCUUCCUUUUUUCGAUGAUGAAGCUUGCUGCAUGGCACACCCAAUUUUGUCUUAUGCUUAGGCGAAGGAUUUUCAUGGAAUUGGAUUAGUUCAUUGCCAUUCCUUUUGUUUCUGUUUCUUUAGUUGGACUGAUUGCAAAUUUUUGUACAAAGAGAUCUAAGUAGUUGAUGAUCCAAGAACUAGAGACUGUUGCUCUUUGAUCACGCUCAUGUCAACUGACAUGUUAUUUAUUGGAAUUGGUUUGUUCCUUUUCAAUUUUUCCUCAUCCUUGCGAUAUGUUUAUUAGAUUUUGAAAACCAUUUAAAUCAAUUAACUUGUAGAGGGUAUUGUUUCAAGGCAAAUACCAGUGUUGCAUAAAGUCUUGGCUAUUUCGGUUGAACAAAUUAAUAAGCUUCUAGUAGGCGUUUGCAUCUUCAUCUCUAACGUCACGUACUCAUUUGUAUUUCUAGCAGUUAAUCUUAACCUUUUGUAUAUGAUCCUGAUGUUCUCGUCAAGGGCAUUUAUCUUCAUACCAGCAUCUCGAACGAUGAAAGCGCAACCAAACACGUCCCUCAAAGAUAUGUAGAAAAGUAAAGCUUCAGGUACUACAAUGUGACAAUGAGCAUUGAUUCUGAGAUGAUGAACAGAAUGUACAUGACAAAAGAUGGAUGGUUGCGCAUUGUUCUUCAAAUUAAAGCUAUUUGAUGGUUUUUGUGUCUGGGGUAGAAUGCUUGGCAUAUUGGGCCUUAGUUUUGUCUUUUAAGUUGAUGUUUGGUGAUCCAGAUGAGAUUAGAUGAUCUUAGAUCACUGAUGAUCUUUAUCCAAGGAUAAUUUGAUUUUUGAUUAUCUAAGAUCAUCAUGUUUAGUAUGUUAUAUUUCAGUAAUUAAAAAUUUUCAGAUAUUUAUAAUAAUUUAUUUAGUAUUCGAUGGAAAUUCAAAAUCACUAACUGUAUAAUAUUUAAAUUAUCCUUCAUAUAUUCUAUAAAUUAUAUUUAUCACUUAUAUAAAAUAUAUUAAGAUCCAUUAUUAAUAUAUAACAUAAAAUGAUAUUUAUUAAUUUUAUAAAAAUAUAUUAAUUAUUAUUAUAGAAUUAAUAUUUUUUUAUAAUAUAUGUAAUUAUUUCAAUAUCAGUACUUAUUUUGAUUAAGAAAAUUAAAAAAAUAAGAUAAAUAGAAGUAAUAUAUAAAAAAAUUAUAAUAUAAAUAUAAAGUAUAAUAAUAUAUUUUUAUUAUAUUUUAAAAUUAUAAAUAAAUUAUGAUAUGAUAAUAAUAAUAUAAUAUAUAAUAUUGAUAUAAUAUGUUAGAUAUAUUGAUAUACUAAUUUUUUUUAUUGAACCAAGAGGUAUUUUUGUCACUAAAUUUUGGUCCAAUAUUACCAUCCUAGGAUUGUCUUCUAGAGUUGUCUUCGAUAUCUGACCCCAAGGAUGAGUUUUUUAUCAUUGAGAUAGAUAGCGAUUUGAUGAGUAAUGGUAAUUUUGGAUCUCUAUCACACACGAUUAUCUAAGCAAAUAUGGUGAUAUUGUUAUCUUUAGCCGCAUCAUUCUCGAUCUUGACAUCAUCACUCUAUAUCAAGCGCUUUAGAUCCGUUCAUAAUUAUGGGAACUCUAUCCAAGAUCACGCCCUUCUACUUUGGGAGGUCAAAUAGCUGUGCCACUGGGUUGCAUGGACUUGGCAUGGCAACCAAUUUAAUGUUUGGAACAAGACUGUUGCCAACGGUACAUCGCUCAUGGGCCUGAAUAACACUUUUUGAGUGAACAGGUGGGGGCCCAUAUCUGCGAGGAGGCGGACACGUCAACUUUGGUAUAUUAAAAGAUCUAGAAGGGCAUUUCGGUAAUUCCAAAUCCAACGACACCCGGUCGUAACCCUAAUUUUCUAGGGCUACAAAUACCCGAUCGCCCCCAGCUAACUUUAUUCCUGUCCAUCUAAUUGGCUUUCGUGUCCUGUGCCUUUUUAUUUUUCUAAAAGUUCCUGUUCUUGAUUUAAUUUUCUCUUAUUCUUCGUCUGAUUAGAUUCGAUCUUUCCUAUUUGUUUUCAUUUGCUUAAUGUAUUAGUGUUAUUUUCCGUUGAAGCACUCUUUGCUUAGAUCUAUGGCUUGGAUCGGAUCACCAUCGAUCCAGAGCUUUGGGAUACAAGAGAUGCGAGAUCGAUUGCUUGGUACCUUUGGACGUGCGGUUUCCUGAUCUCCCAUGGAUCCUCGCGUUUUCUCGUAGGCUCUACAUCAUUCUCUCCACUCUAAUCUCAAGAAAUCUUUUUCUUUCUUGCGAUAAUUUAACUACUCUGCUUUUAUUUUGUGCUUUAUUUUGGAAUUUUGGGCUCGAUGAUGAUUUAUUUUGCUUUAACCACACCGAAAGAGAAGCCGGAGGAGAGGGGUCGUUUAUGGUCCCCAAUUUCUCUUCUUUGGUCUGUUGAUCUUUUGCUGGGUGUUGCCUGGGGAUCUCUUCCUUCUUCUUGUGGGAGUCUCGCUCUCUUUGGGGUGGUUUUCCCUUGGGAAGAGGAGAGGAGUGAAGGCUUCGGCAAGCUUGGGAGCAGCAGAUCCAGUUGGGUUCCCAUGUGCGAUUUUCCUCCGAUGGACUUUCUUGGAAGUGGAAAACUUUGGCCAUAAGACUGAGAGCUCUAUUAUAUUAAUAGUACCUUUUGCUGAAGUUUUUCUCUAAUUCUUGAUCUUUUUUAGGUCUCUCUGUGGCAAACUUGAAUCAAAUCAGAUGGACCAAAAUUCUAAUUU
rnacentral:lncRNA from 1 species